rnacentral:rRNA from 1 species
UAAUUGGGCGUUAAGUUGCAGGGUAUAGACCCGAAACCCGGUGAUCUAGCCAUGGGCAGGUUGAAGGUUGGGUAACACUAACUGGAGGACCGAACCGACUAAUGUUGAAAAAUUAGCGGAUGACCUGUGGCUGGGGGUGAAAGGCCAAUCAAACCGGGAGAUAGCUGGUUCUCCCCGAAAGCUAUUUAGGUAGCGCCUCGUGAAUUCAUCUCCGGGGGUAGAGCACUGUUUCGGCUAGGGGGCCAUCCCGGCUUACCAACCCGAUGCAAACUGCGAAUACCGGAGAAUGUUAUCACGGGAGACACACGGCGGGUGCUAACGUCCGUCGUGAAGAGGGAAACAACCCAGACCGCCAGCUAAGGUCCCAAAGUCAUGGUUAAGUGGGAAACGAUGUGGGAAGGCCCAGACAGCCAGGAUGUUGGCUUAGAAGCAGCCAUCAUUUAAAGAAAGCGUAAUAGCUCACUGGUCGAGUCGGCCUGCGCGGAAGAUGUAACGGGGCUAAACCAUGCACCGAAGCUGCGGCAGCGACACUGUGUGUUGUUGGGUA